rnacentral:tRNA from 1 species
UUCGGAAUUUGCAUAAGUUCACGCCCAACCUUACCGAGGUUGGGCGGAAUGCGGCGUCUCGCGAGUUCGAAUCUCGUUUUCACGU